CACUGUUGAGGAUGAUUGUUAAAAACAAUGGGAAUCUCUCAGAACACCUGAAGACUAACCUUUUUACCUGAAACAGUG